GUGGAUUAGAUACCCUGGUAGUCCACGCUGUAAACGAUGAGUACUAAGUGUUGGAGAAAUUCAGUGCUGAAGCAAACGCAUUAAGUACUCCGCCUGAGAAGUACGUUCGCAAGAAUGAAACUUAAAGGAAUUGACGGGGGCCCGCACAAGCGGUGGAGCAUGUGGUUUAAUUCGACGCAACACGAAGAACCUUACCAGGACUUGACAUCCGAUGCAAGACUCUAGAGAUAGAGGGAUAGUUAUGGUCGAGACAGGUGGUGCACGGUCGUCGACAGCU
rnacentral:rRNA from 1 species